AGUCACUGACAUUAGAUACCCCUGUAGUCCCAGCCGUAAACAAUGUGCGUUAGGUGCGUCGGUAACCACGCGUUACUGAUGCGCCGAAGAGAAAUCGUGAAACGCACCACCUGGGAAGUACGGUCGCAAGGCUGAAACUUAAAGGAAUUGGCGGGGAGCACCACAACAGGUGGAGCCUGCGGUUUAAUUGGAUUCAACGCCGGACAUCUCACCGGAUAAGACAGCUGAAUGAUUGUCAAUCUGAAGGUUUUACAUGACUAGCUG
rnacentral:rRNA from 1 species